CACGUAGGGCGCAAGCGUUGUCCGGAAUUAUUGGGCGUAAAGAGCUCGUAGGCGGUCUGUUGCGUCCGCUGUGAAAACUCGGGGCUUAACCCCGGGCCUGCAGUGGGUACGGGCAGACUAGAGUGCGGUAGGGGAGACUGGAAUUCCUGGUGUAGCGGUGAAAUGCGCAGAUAUCAGGAGGAACACCGAUGGCGAAGGCAGGUCUCUGGGCAUUAACUGACGCUGAGGAGCGAAAGCAUGGGGAGCGAACGGG
rnacentral:rRNA from 1 species